CCUACGGGUGGCAGCAGUGGGGAAUAUUGGACAAUGGGGGCAACCCUGAUCCAGCCAUGCCGCGUGUGUGAAGAAGGCCCUCGGGUUGUAAAGCACUUUCAGUGAGGAAGAACGCCUGGUGGUUAAUACCCAUCAGGAAAGACAUCACUCACAGAAGAAGCACCGGCUAACUCCGUGCCAGCAGCCGCGGUAAUACGGAGGGUGCGAGCGUUAAUCGGAAUUACUGGGCGUAAAGCGCGCGUAGGUGGCUUGAUAAGCCGGUUGUGAAAGCCCCGGGCUCAACCUGGGAACGGCAUCCGGAGCUGUCAAGCUAGAGUGCAGGAGAGGAAGGUAGAAUUCCCGGUGUAGCGGUGAAAUGCGUAGAGAUCGGGAGGAAUACCAGUGGCGAAGGCGGCCUUCUGGACUGACACUGACACUGAGGUGCGAAAGCGUGGGUAGCAAACAGGAUUAGAUACCCGAGUAGUC
rnacentral:rRNA from 1 species